rnacentral:rRNA from 1 species
CAGCAGCCGCGGUAAUACAGAGGGUGCGAGCGUUAAUCGGAAUUACUGGGCGUAAAGCGCGCGUAGACGGUUUGGUAAGUCAGAUGUGAAAUCCCUGGGCUCAACCUGGGAACUGCAUUUGAUACUGCCUGGCUAGAGUAUCGAAGAGGGAAGUGGAAUUUCCGGUGUAGCGGUGAAAUGCGUAGAUAUCGGAAGGAACACCAGUGGCGAAAGCGACUUCCUGGUCGAAUACUGACGUUCAUGUGCGAAAGCGUGGGGAGCAAACAGGAUUAGAUACCCCAGUAGUCCCUGUCUCUUAUAC